rnacentral:rRNA from 1 species
GGAAUAUUGGUCAAUGGACGGAAGUCUGAACCAGCCAAGUAGCGUGCAGGAUGACGGCCCUAUGGGUUGUAAACUGCUUUUUUAGGGGAAUAAAGUUAGCCACGUGUGGUUAUUUGCAUGUACCCUACGAAUAAGGACCGGCUAAUUCCGUGCCAGCAGCCGCGGUAAUACGGAAGGUCCGGGCGUUAUCCGGAUUUAUUGGGUUUAAAGGGAGCGCAGGCCGUUUGGUAAGCGUGUUGUGAAAUGUCCGGGCUCAACCUGGGCACUGCAGCGCGAACUGUCAGACUUGAGUGCACAGGAAGCGGGCGGAAUUCGUGGUGUAGCGGUGAAAUGCUUAGAUAUCACGAAGAACUCCAAUUGCGAAGGCAGCUCGCUGUAGUGUUACUGACGCUAAAGCUCGAAAGUGCGGGUAUCGAACA